rnacentral:rRNA from 1 species
AUGCCUAAGACAUGCAAGUCGUUACGAAGUGGCCCAUUGAUGAUUGAGUGCUUGCACAAGAUUUGAUUUGGAUUCCCACUUAGUGGCGCAAGGGUGAGUAACGCGUAGGUUAUCUGCCUUCGAGUUUUGGAAUAACAAUUAGAAAUGAUUGCUAAUGCCGGAUUAUAUUUAAGAUGAUACGUUGUCUUAAAUUAAAAGGAGCCUUUAAAGCUUCGCUUGAAGAUGAGCCUGCGUCGUAUUAGCUAGUUGGCAGGGCAACGGCCUACCAAGGCGACGAUCAGUAGCCGACCUGAGAGGGUGACCGGCCACAUUGGGACUGAGACACGGCCCAGACUCCUACGGGAGGCAGCAGUGGGGAAUAUUGCACAAUGGGGAAACCCUGAUGCAGCGACGCCGCGUGGAGGAAGAAGGUCUUCGGAUUGUAAACUCCUGUUGUUGAGGAAGAUAAUGACGGUACUCAACAAGGAAGUGACGGCUAACUACGUG